rnacentral:rRNA from 1 species
UACGAAGGGGGCUAGCGUUGCUCGGAAUCACUGGGCGUAAGGCGCACGUAGGCGGAUUGCUAAGUCAGGGGUGAAAUCCUGGAGCUCAACUCCAGAACUGCCUUUGAUACUGGCGAUCUUGAGUCCGGGAGAGGUGAGUGGAACUGCGAGUGUAGAGGUGAGAUUCGUAGAUAUUCGCAAGAACACCAGUGGCGAAGGCGGCUCACUGGCCCGGUACUGACGCUGAGGUGCGAAAGCGUGGGGAGCAAACAGG